AAUUUUUCCAAAAGUGUUUUAUGAGAUUGGAGAACAAAUUGGGAGGGAACUUAGAACAUUCCUCUAUACAGAAUAUUUCCAGAUAUUUGAAAUCCUUUGUCUGUGCCUAUGGAUUUCCCUCUUCAAUUCACACCACAGGUUUUCAAUGAGGUUCAAGUCCAGAGACUGAGAUGGCCAUUGCAAAAUGAUGAUUUUGUGGUCAAUUAACCAUGGAUUUUUAUGUGUGCUAGAGGUUAUUGUGUUGAUGGAAGAUCCACUUGCUGGCAAGUUUCAGCAACUAGGUUUUUGGCUGAAAUGUCAUGAUAUUUGGUAAGAGAUCCCCAGGACCAGUGAAAGCAAAAUAGUCCCAUAACAUCAAAAAUCCACCACCAUUAUUUUACAGUAGAGAUUAGGUAUUUUUUGCAUAUACAUUAUUCUUUCUAUGGCCAAACCCACCACUGUUGUGCGUUUCCUCAUUUGCCUAUUUAUAUAGUACAUCAAGGACUACCGUCUAGGACAGUGGUCACCAACCGGUCGAUCCCGAUCUCCAAGAAAUUACUAAUCGAUCGCCUUGCGUUCCUGUUUUUGUUUGUUUUAUUAGUUUCACGCGGUUUGUAGUAGGUGCACUUAAUUCAGGUGCCCUCGCGCCGGGAAGUCGACGUAUUCCCUUUUUGAACCAUUUCAUGUGUCUGAAGGUACAAACUCCGCCUACUCAGCGACCCCAAUCAAGUGCACAUAUAUCGGCCAACAGCAGGCCAUUCAGAACUCGGAUCACCGUGCAUCUUCCAUGAGACGAUAGAGAAGCCUGAGCAGCGUUUCUUUCUGGUUCUGACGAGAAAAAUAUAAUACUGUCUGGGGAGGUUCUCUUCUGCACAACUAAUCCAGUAAAUGUGGAGGAGGAUUUAAAAUGCGGUGUUGCCUUGUGAACAUCCAAAAGCAGAAGUUGCGUCUUAUUUGUAGCACUGGUGCUCCUAACUUCAAAAAGGUCCAGCAACCUAAGUCUUCCCUGCUUUCAUUACUCCACACUUUCGUCAGUACUCACAAAACGCGCUUCUCCCUAUCCUCCCAUGAAUUGGUGGAUGAGGCAGAAAGAAUGAAGUGAGACUCGAGUUACGCCAUCGGCUGGAAGACGGCCCAGAGGAUGUGGAUAGAGUGGCCCUACAGGGGUUGACCCUGAACCAGACUCCCUGCCCUCCCCACCCCCAGACAGCAACCGACUACAGCCCUGCGACCCACCACCAAGCCCCCGUCAAAUGGGUUCGCCACAUCAUCCGCAGCGUGGAGGAGCAGUUUGUCGACGCAGAGGAUUGAGGUCCGGUGUGUCCUGAUACACUUUUUAUUAGUUAACUCUUUAAUCGUAAGCUCUUAGGAAUGAUAUUUUAGUUGGUUUCUCAGGUGUCAGGGUUAGGGUUAGUAUUACUUGUUCCUUGGUUUGUUAAUGAAUUAGGAUGUCAUAUUUGUAGCCUCGUUGACAGUUGGGUUACAUGUUAACAAUUCAUUAUUUUUUUUGUGAAUCAUUUCAAUAGAUGUGUAGUCUAACUCUUAACUAAAAGAGAAAUUGUAGUUUUUAUCUUAUUUUUUAAAUACUUUUGUUUUAAAAGCAAUCACCUGAUAUAGGCCCAUGUGUUCAAGUGUCACUCCCUUUAAAAUCAUAUGUGUUAAAAUGGAGAGGGCACAGUGCAAGAAUAAGUAUGUUUGGAUAUAUUCUCAAAUGGAUUUUCCUGAUUGAUUCUGAGCCCAUGGAGAGCAAGAGGUCAGGUUGCCAUGACUACAGCACCCUGUAAGACACCACCCACUGGGCACAGAUGUCAAUUCAACGUCUAUUCCAAGUUGGUUCAAUGUAAUUUCAUUGAAAUGGUGUGGAAACAAUGUUGAUUCAACCAGUGUGCGCUCAGUGGAAAUGAAAUUCAGCUUUUGAGAUCCAAGAUAUCUUUAAUGCAAAUAAACCAUGCAUUUUAACA